UUCGCAGUUUCUGAUUGUUUGGGCUAAGAUAGAAGCGCUGUGCUUGAUGCUUGCACCUAUGUUCCGAACUUUCCUUCGUUUUGUGCCAGUGUCAAGUUUAUCGCUUGAUUCUGUCGCCGAUGAUUCUGAUCCUUCUGAAACCUCCGGGAGAUCCAUCACCAGCUCCGGCGGAGCCUCCCGAAUAGUCACCGGAGUUGGAGAAGCAGAAACAGCAGCUGAAAUUUGCUGUUGCUGUUGCUGCUGUUGCUGUUGUGAAGCA
rnacentral:misc_RNA from 1 species